UACGAAGGGGGCUAGCGUUGCUCGGAAUCACUGGGCGUAAAGCGCACGUAGGCGGACUCUUAAGUCAGGGGUGAAAUCCUGGAGCUCAACUCCAGAACUGCCUUUGAUACUGGGAGUCUUGAGUUCGGGAGAGGUGAGUGGAACUGCGAGUGUAGAGGUGAAAUUCGUAGAUAUUCGCAAGAACACCAGUGGCGAAGGCGGCUCACUGGCCCGAUACUGACGCUGAGGUGCGAAAGCGUGGGAGCGAUCCGG
rnacentral:rRNA from 1 species